rnacentral:rRNA from 1 species
GAUGAACGCUGGCGGCGUGCCUAAUACAUGCAAGUCGAGCGAACAGACGAGGAGCUUGCUCCUCUGACGUUAGCGGCGGACGGGUGAGUAACACGUGGAUAACCUACCUAUAAGACUGGGAUAACUUCGGGAAACCGGAGCUAAUACCGGAUAAUAUAUUGAACCGCAUGGUUCAAUAGUGAAAGACGGUUUUGCUGUCACUUAUAGAUGGAUCCGCGCCGCAUUAGCUAGUUGGUAAGGUAACGGCUUACCAAGGCAACGAUGCGUAGCCGACCUGAGAGGGUGAUCGGCCACACUGGAACUGAGACACGGUCCAGACUCCUACGGGAGGCAGCAGUAGGGAAUCUUCCGCAAUGGGCGAAAGCUUGACGGAGCAACGCCGCGUGAGUGAUGAAGGUCUUCGGAUCGUAAAACUCUGUUAUUAGGAAAGAACAAAUGUGUAAGUAACUAUGCACGUCUUGACGGUACCUAAUCAGAAAGCCACGGCUAACUACGUG